rnacentral:rRNA from 1 species
GUAGGUGGCAAGCGUUGUCCGGAAUUAUUGGGCGUAAAGCGCGCGCAGGCGGUUCUUUAAGUCUGAUGUGAAAGCCCACGGCUCAACCGUGGAGGGUCAUUGGAAACUGGAGAACUUGAGUACAGAAGAGGAAAGCGGAAUUCCACGUGUAGCGGUGAAAUGCGUAGAGAUGUGGAGGAACACCAGUGGCGAAGGCGGCUUUCUGGUCUGUAACUGACGCUGAGGCGCGAAGGCGUGGGGAGCAAACAGGGAUUAGAUACCCUGGUAGUCCACGCCGUAAACGAUGAGUGCUAAGUGUUAGGGGGUUUCCGCCCCCUUAGUGCUGCAGCUAACGCAUUAAGCACUCCGCCUGGGGAGUACGGCCGCAAGGCUG